rnacentral:lncRNA from 1 species
AGACAGCUCAUACAUGAAUGAUUUCUGUUUCUGUUGGAGAUGAAAGUAUUACUAGUCACACAGAGCAAGGGCUAGGGGCUAAAUGAGCUGCACUGAAGGUAAAUGCUGAUAGAGGCCUAUGGAGGGGACCUUGUGGCCCAGGGCAGCAAGAAAUGCUCCAUUGGAGAGAUGGGGUACAUGCGAGUGACAAUGGGAAGAGUUGGUAGCUGGAGAGAACUGGGAAAGCCUUCAGAAACGUGGGGCUAAAAUAAGCCCAGAAGCUGAGGAAGGGCUGAGUCAGACCCUCAGAGUGGAGCAAUCACUGCACGGCUGCUCCUUGUAAGAAACAUCCCGUUGCGCCUGAGUUGUUUAUUGCCAGGAGCUGUAAGUGAAAAAUGAGCUCUCCUAAGCCAGGCUGGGAGCAGGCUCCUCUUCCUGGAGAUGGCACGAUGCUUCACAGCUUGGAAACGUUCUGUGCCAGUAUAAAGGGGGUGGCAUACGUCCCUCGGAGCAGGAAAGCCUGAUGACAAAGGGGAAGGAGCC